rfam:Candidatus Methanomethylophilus alvus Mx1201, complete genome.
CAACACAUUCCGCGAGGGAUGUCUGAGGAUUCGAGAAGUCAGCAGAGGCCACAGUACUCCCAGAGAAUGUUCGGAGGAAGGUUCGGGAAGGAAGGGC